UUAAUUAAAAUUUGACCUAUUAGAAUAUCUAAAACUGGAAUCACACAGGGAACAUUAGCAUGGGCCCUACACAAGGAUGAUAUGCAAAUUCACAAAACCCCCUCUCCCUUA